UAAAUAUUUAAAUAAAUUGUAAUUAUAAAUCGUCCUUAAAUUAUAUAACUCGAAUUUUCAAGAAAAUGCGAUUCAUUAUAUUCCUAUGCAUCUUUGUUUUUAAAGCCAAUCCAAUUCCAAGUGCUUUAACCACUGAACUCAGACAACUAUGUUGGACGAAACAUAAGCAUGAUUAUCCUAACCUAUUCAAUACUAUAGAUGAUUACGAUAGAGGAGAAAAUAAUUCAAGAAUAUCCUUUAUCCAAGGGGGUGAUAGAAACCUAGAUACAUAUUCAUCAACAAUAUUACCAACAAAACGAUAAAUUUAAUUGAGUGGCCUCAAUUAUUAUACCUAAUGCGAUUGAACGAACUCAAUUUAACAUUAAAUAUUAUAGCUGAUGUGAGUAGUCAUUAUUUAUAUAAAUUAGCAACCUUUUUUUUUAGUUCGAAAUUGGUUUUAAUAACAUUAGCGCUACGAUUAUGCUAUGUAUGAUGCCUUUAAA